ACGGGGUGCAGCAGGCGCGAAACCUUUACACUGCACGCAAGUGCGAUAAGGGGACCCCGAGUGCGAGGGCAUACAGUCCUCGCUUUUCACCACCGUAAGGUGGUGGUGGAAUAAGAGCUGGGCAAGACCGGUGCCAGCCGCCGCGGUAAUACCGGCAGCUCGAGUGAUGGCCGAUUUUAUUGGGCCUAAAGCGUCCGUAGCCGGCCACACAAGUCCAUCGGGAAAUCCGCCAGCCUAACUGGCGGGCGUCCGGUGGAAACUGUGUGGCUCGGGACCGGAAGACCCAACAGGUACGUCUUGGGUAGGAGUGAAAUCCUGUAAUCCUGGACGGACCACCGAUAGCGAAAGCAUGUUGGGAAGACGGAUCCGACGGUGAGGGACGAAAGCCAGGGUCUCGAACCGGAUUAGAUACCCGGGUAGUCCUGGCCGUAAACGAUGUCUGCUAGGUGUGGCUCCCACUACGAGUGGGUGCUGUGCCGUAGGGAAGCCGCUAAGCAGACCGCCUGGGAAGUACGUCCGCAAGGAUGAAACUUAAAGGAAUUGGCGGGGGAGCAC
rnacentral:rRNA from 1 species